rnacentral:rRNA from 1 species
CCCUUAGAUGUCCGGGGCCGCACGCGCGCUACACUGAAGGAAUCAGCGUGGCUUUCUCCCUGACCCGAAAGGGUUGGGAAACCCGUUGAAUCUCCUUCGUGAUAGGGAUUGGGGCUUGAAAUUGUUCCCCAUGAACGAGGAAUUCCCAGUAAGCGCGAGUCAUAAGCUCGCGUUGAUACGUCCCUGCCCUUUGUACACACCGCCCGUCGCUACUACCGAUUGAACGGUUUAGUGAGGGCCUCGGAUUGGUCUCGGCCCGCUCUUUACCGGGCGGCGCCGUUGGUCGAGAAGACGCUCGAACUUGAUCGUUUAGAGGAAGUAAAAGUCGUAACA